rnacentral:tRNA from 1 species
UGUUUAGAUAGCUCAGUUGGUUAGAGCAAAAGAUUGAAAAUCUUUGUGCCAUAGGUUCAAAUCCUAUUCUGAACAG